UCCAGCAGUUGUCAGCUAUCCAGGCUGUGUGGUGCCCGAGAUCGUGUUACACUGUUGGAAGAGUAAACACUGCCUUACUAAGGGUUGGCUCCCAGCACUGUUUUGGUGUCUGGUGCUGAGUACUUUCAGGCAGUAUUGCACCCCUGAGAGUGGAGUGACUCCUUGUGGAGUUGGUCCUGGUCUGGGUGCAAACAAU
ensembl:snoRNA Snora74a small nucleolar RNA SNORA74